rnacentral:rRNA from 1 species
AAUAGAUACCCUGGUAGUCCAUGCCGUAAACGAUGUCUACUAGCCGUUGGGGCCUUUGAGGCUUUAGUGGCGCAGCUAACGCGAUAAGUAGACCGCCUGGGGAGUACGGUCGCAAGACUAAAACUCAAAUGAAUUGACGGGGGCCCGCACAAGCGGUGGAGCAUGUGGUUUAAUUCGAUGCAACGUGAAGAACCUUACCUGGUCUUGACAUAGUAAGAACUUUCCAGAGAUGGAUUGGUGCCUUCGGGAACUUACAUACAGGUGCUGCAUGGCUGUCGUCAGCUCGUGUCGUGAGAUGUUGGGUUAAGUCCCGCAACGAGCGCAACCCUUUUCCUUAUUUGCCAUCAGGUUAAGCCGGGAACUUUAAGGAUACUGCCAGUGACAAACUGGAGGAAGGCGGGGACGACGUCAAGUCAUCAUGGCCCUUACGACCAGGGCUACACACGUGCUACAAUGGUCGGUACAAAGGGUUGCUACUCCGCGAGGAGAUGCUAAUCUCAAAAAGCCGAUCGUAGUCCGGAUUGGAGU